GGAGGAGUGGCCGAGCGGUUUAAGGCACUGGUCUUGAAAACCAGCGAAGGGUUAUACCUUCCGUGAGUUCGAAUCUCACCUCCUCCG
rnacentral:tRNA from 1 species